rnacentral:rRNA from 1 species
GACGUAGGUGGCGAACGUUAUCCGGAAUUAUUGGGCGUAAAGGGUGCGUAGGCGGCGCGGUAAGUCGGGUGUGAAAUCUUGGAGCUUAACUCCGAAACUGCAUUCGAUACUGCCGUGCUUGAGGACUGGAGAGGAGACUGGAAUUUACGGUGUAGCGGUGAAAUGCGUAGAUAUCGUAAGGAAGACCAGUGGCGAAGGCGGGUCUCUGGACAGUUCCUGACGCUGAGGCACGAAGGUCAGGGGAGCAAACGGG